UCAAAACGAGCAAAAUGAUCAAAACGAACAAAAUGAUCAAAACGAGCAAAAUGAUCAAAACGAGCAAAAUGAUCAAAACGAACAGAACGAACAAAACGAACAAAACAACAAUGAAGAUUCUAAAUUACAUUGUGAUGAUAAAGAAAAAAAAAAUGUUGACAGAGAGGAGGAAAAAAUGACAAGUCACGAAUUGGGCCAUGAUGAUGUCGAACCCGAAGUGAAUGAUAAUGAAAUAAAAGAAAAGAUUGAUGAUAUAUUAAACAAUUUAUCUUCAGAUGAGGAAGAAGGAGAAGUAGUUGAAGAUGAAAUUCCGUAUGAACGUGUUCAGGAAUAUAAUAUCGAAAAUAGUAGUGAAAAACCUACAGAAAUAAUAAUAUUAAAUUACUAUUCUGAAAUAGAUGAAAAUCACUUUAAUAUGUUAUUAAGUAUUUUUGGUCCAAUAAAAAGAACUUAUAUAGAUGACAAUGAAUCUGUACAUGUGAUAUAUAAUUCUCCAAAAAGUGCAGCUAAUGCAAAAAAACAUCUUGACAGUUUAAAAAUUAAAAAUAGAAGAAUACAAGUUAUAUUUGAAGUAAAUAAAGAAGAAAACGAACAAAAUAAUAUAAUACAAAAUUUGGAAAAUUAUGAUGUCUUUAAUAUGACAAAAGAAAGUUUAUAUAAUGAGUAUAGUAAGUAUGAACUACCCAAAAACAAAAUAUUAAAUAAAAAUAUUAACGAUAGUUUUUUAGGAAUUAAUAAUAGCACUAGUAGUAAUAGACAUAAUGUUAGUAACAUAUAUACGAACAAAAUAAAUAGACUACCAAAAAACUACGUUAAAUUAUAUAAAAAUGACAAUUACCUUUUAGAUAAUUUAAAUGUAACACAAGCCCAUACUUCUCCGCAUCCUUUUUCUCCUCUUCAUAAUAAUAACAAUAAUAAUAAUAAUAACAAUAAUGUUAGUACCUACCAAAACAAGGCCUCUUAUCGUAAUAACAUGAGCAAUAGUAAUAAUAAUAAUACUAUAAAUAACAAUGACAUGUUUUAUUCAAACAAAACGAUAGACUAUGUUAAUAUCCGUACUAAUCCAUUUAAUAGUAAGAACAUUAUAAAUCAAAAUAACGAAAUGUUAUUUACCUGUCCAACAUCUUCAUCUGAAAUUACACAAAAAAUAAACAAUCCUUUACCAACCAAAACAGAUGUUAAUAAAAUACAAAUCACAAAAAAUAUAUAUGAGGAACAACCAUAUAGUAAUAUAACUACUAACAAUAUUAAUACUAAUGAUAAUAACAAUAACAAAAAAAAAAAUCUCUAUCGUUUACCUCCUCCACC
rnacentral:lncRNA from 1 species